rnacentral:rRNA from 1 species
GACGAACGCUGGCGGCGUGCUUAACACAUGCAAGUCGAACGGAAAGGCCCUGCUUUUGUGGGGUGCUCGAGUGGCGAACGGGUGAGUAACACGUGAGUAACCUGCCCUUGACUGUGGGAUAACUUCAGGCAACUGGGGCUAAUACCGGAUAGGAGCUCCUGCUGCAUGGUGGGGGUUGGAAAGUUUCGGCGGUUGGGGAUGGACUCGCGGCUUAUCAGCUUGUUGGUGGGGUAGUGGCUUACCAAGGCUUUGACGGGUAGCCGGCCUGAGAGGGUGACCGGCCACAUUGGGACUGAGAUACGGCCCAGACUCCUACGGGAGGCAGCAGUGGAGAAUCUUGCACAAUGGGCGGAAGCCUGAUGCAGCAACGCCGCGUGCGGGAUGACGGCCUUCGGGUUGUAAACCGCUUUCGCCUGUGACGAAGCGUUAGUGACGGUAAUGGGUAAAGAAGCACCGGCUAACUACGUG